AGUCCCGUGGUGUAGUGGUCCAUCAUACCGGGUUUUGGUCCCGGUGACGGAGGUUCGAAUCCUCCCGGGACUA
rnacentral:tRNA from 4 species